rnacentral:rRNA from 1 species
GACGAACGCUGGCGGCGCGCUUAACACAUGCAAGUCGAACGGAAAGGCCUGCUUUCCCUUGUGGAUUGCGGGUACUCGAGUGGCGAACGGGUGAGUAACACGUGAGUGAUCUGCCCCCAACUUGGGUAUAAGCCUGGGAAACUGGGUCUAAUUCCCGAUAGGACUGCAGGGUGGUGCCUGUGGUGGAAAACGAUUUUCUAGUGGUUGGGGAUGAGCUCGCGGCCUAUCAGCUUGUUGGUGGGGUAAUGGCCUACCAAGGCGGCGACGGGUAGCCGGCCUGGGAGGGUGGACGGCCACAUUGGGACUGAGAUACGGCCCAGACGCCUACGGGAGGCAGCAGUGGGGAAUAUUGCACAAGGGGCGGAAGCCUGAUGCAGCGACGCCGCGUGGGGGAUGACGGCCUUCGGGUUGUAAACUCCUUUCGACCGCGAGGAAGCCACCUGGUUGGAAGGGUGGUGACGGUAGUGGUAGAAGAAGCACCGGCUAACUACGUG